rnacentral:rRNA from 1 species
UACGUAGGGGGCAAGCGUUGUCCGGAAUCAUUGGGCGUAAAGAGCGUGUAGGCGGCCCGAUUAGUCCGCUGUGAAAGUCCAGGGCUCAACCCUGGAAUGCCGGUGGAUACUGUCGGGCUAGAGUCCGGAAGGGGCGAGUGGAAUUCCCGGUGUAGCGGUGAAAUGCGCAGAUAUCGGGAGGAACACCAAUGGCGAAGGCAGCUCGCUGGGACGGUACUGACGCUGAGGCGCGAAAGC